ensembl:lincRNA
AUGCUUAGGCCCCUGCAGAGCAGAUGCAGCAGAUGGGAGCUGAAAUGUAGACCUUGUUUUGCCCACCAAGCCAUGUGCCCUGGUGGGGCCACAUCAGCCUGGAGGAAGGGGCACUUUCUGAUUGCUUCACCAGGAAAGGUGAUGCAUUUUAGCAGUCUUGCAUAUAUCACACACAAGUGCAUGCGCACAUGUAUGGACCUUUUCCCAGUUUCCACUGAGUGCUGCAUAAGUGCUGGCUGCCUCACUGGGAUUGAUGAGAAGGAAGCUGCUACUCAGCCAUGCACCUCUGCAAAUCUUGGAAAGAGUCAAGGAUUCCUGAGGCAAGGAAGUUGGAUAAUGAUGAGCACCAGGCAAGACACAGCUGGCCACUGGAGAGAGAGCCCAGUGUAGGCAGGAGGCCAGAAUGUGCCAACAGUAAGCGAAGUCUUUUCUUAUCGGAGGAGAAAAGCUUGCACUUAGCUGCACUAUCAGAGAGAAGACUGGCAUCAGACUAACGCAGCCUUCAAUAAAUGGAGGGAAAGAGAAAUCCAGGAGCCUAGCUUUGUAGAUGUGAAUUAACAUCGCUUAUUCUGUAACAAAACUCAAGCAUGUGUAAACUGCAAAUUAAACAGCCCAAAUAUAUCAUUAUCUGAAUUUACAGAAGGCAGAAUAGUGUGGUUAGGGUUGCUAGAUUUAGCAAAUAAGAAUAGAGGAUGCCCAGUUGAAUUUGAAUUUCAGAUAAACAAAAAAUACACUUUUAGUAAAAAUAUGUUCCAUGCAAUAUUUAGGAUUUGUUUAUCCAAAAAUCAAGUGUAACAGUAUUUUAUCUGGCAACCCUAAGUGUGGUUAAACAUGUAGGCUCUGGAGUCACACAGCAUAAGUUCAAAUUCUGAUCCUGCUUUUUACCAGCUCUGUGACCUUGGGCAAAUUAUUUAACCGUUCUGAGCUUCAGUUCCCUUGUGUGUAAAAUUAGGAUAACACUUACUUCAUAAGGUUGUUGUGAAGAUUAAAUAAUACGUUAAAAAAUUUACAAUGUUAGCCAGGCACAGUAGCUCACGCCUGUAAUCCCAGCAUUUUGGGAGGCCGAGGCAGGUGGAUCACCUGAGGUCAGGAGUUCAAGACUAGCCUGGCCAACAUGGUGAAACCGUGUCUCUACUGAAAAUACAAAAAUUAGCCAGGCGUGGUGGUACAUGCUUGUGAUCUCAGCUACUUGGAAGGGUGAGGUGGGAGGAUGACUUGAACCCUGGAGGGGGAGGUUGCAGUGAGCUGAGAUCGUGCCACUGCACUCCAGCCUGGGUGACAGAGCGAGACUCCAUCUCAAAAAAAAAAGAAAAAAGAAAAAAAACGUACAGUGUUAACUGAUACAUCAUAAGUGCUCAGAAACUAUUAGCUAUUUUUAUAAACAGUUAUUUUAUAAAAUCGUUAUUCCUUAACCAAAUUACUUUUUUUAAUUGACAUUAUGAUUCCAAGUACCUUUAAAAAAAAUCUAAGUGGAGCUUUUUAUUCCCUUCUAUUUCCAUAGUACUUUCAUUUUAUUUUCCAAUAAACUGAGCUAACACAACUUUUAGACUCAACUAUUUAUGGUAUAAAGGAAUACAGAUCAAACAUCAUACAAUAUCGUCAGGUUUCCUAUUCCUUCCCUUAGUGCCUGAUGGUUGAACCCAAUUUUGAAGACAUCCUAAGCUCCAAAUUUCUAGUGAGAAAUUUGGGUAAACUUUUACAAAAUAUUCCUUGAAUGUUUACUAGAUGAAAGUUAGGAGCCAAUGACAGUUCUAGAAUGGGGUUUUCUUAGAGAGAAGUUUUGUUACAAUGGUAUUUGUUGUAAUAGGAUUCUGCACUCUGUAUAGAUCAUUUAAGAAUAACCAAUUUGUACAGAGAGUUCCAGUUCUUGUAAAAGAGCUUGUAAUAGAGUUCCAGUUCUUGUAAUUCCAGUUCUUGUAAUAGAGUUCCAGUUCUUGUAAUUAUCACAAAGUUAAAAAUCAGACAAGAAGAAAGAGCAAUGGGCUUGGAAUAAAAGAAAUGUUUCUCUCACUCAGUACAAGUCACCUAAUACUUCUGAAUAUUUGCUUUCUCAUUUAUAAAACAAGAAUACUACCUUAAAUAGUAAUAAUUAAGUUAAAUGAGAUAAUAUAAGGGACAAUAUAGCACUGGUUCUCAAAGUAAGCACUCAAUAAAUACUUGUGAAUAUGGAUCUGUUAUAUUCACCAGAAGGAAGAUUACAUACCAGUGCAGACUUACAGAAAGAUUAAAGCCUGGGGUUUGUGCUGCUUUAUAUGGCUGAGCUAAAACGCCUUACUCUGUCCACAUCUGCUUUUGGAUAAGAACCAAUAACUUCCAAACAAUGAUACAACCUAAGGGGAAUUUGAGGAAGAACUCCAUCUUCCUCAUUGUCAGUGACUGGUGUGUGUGUGUGUGUGUGUGUGUGUGUGUGUCUUGUACUGGGUGGAGGAAAGUAGUGGGAUAGGAGAAAGGCAGAAAAGGAUUUGGAAAUGUCCUUU